CUUUCCACGGUUCGCCGGGAUCCUAACACGUCAGGCCAUCUAGCAGUCCAGUAUUCAGUUCCAGACUCUAUCUGCAUGGGCCUCAUCCCACUCACUUGGCCCUGCCCCUCCCCGAGUCCCGCAGCUAACUUGACUGGACUGUCCAAUCCCCUUCCAGUGGCCCCGCCUCGCCCCCUUACCUGCCUAAUCCAAAGACCACGCCCACUGCAUAGGCCACGCCCACAAUGGUGGGCGCUAUGCCCCGCCCCCUUCCCAAGUCUCAGCGCUGGCCGGCUGCCUCCAGCAGUCGGCUCUGCCCCCAUUCCCUUGCUCCCUGCAUGCACGGCGGCGCCCUCUCGCACCGAUCCCUGGCCACCCGUGCCGUCGGUUCUCACCUAGGGCUGCUGGCGCAGCUGCCAUCGUCUCAGCCCAAACGGCGGAUUCCCGCACUCACUGGUGAUGGCACUCCCGCUUCCGGGUCCGCUCGGCUGUUUCCGGAUCCGCUCGGCUGUUUCCGGAUCGGGUCUGCAGGGGCCCCGGGGGUUGGCGGGGCGGUAUGGUCAAGAGAGGCAGAAGGCAUUCGAGUGGACGCGGAGUGUGGGUCCCGCCUCUCUUGCGGCCGC
rnacentral:lncRNA from 1 species